ensembl:lncRNA
GAAUAAACGGUAUACGCUCCCAAAGCCGAUGCUUUGCCUGUGCAGUUCCAGCAGUGGCUACUCACACUAAAACCCAACACUUUGUAAAGAUUAUAACACUUUCCUGCAAGAGCUGGAGAAGCACUGUGUGCUCCAGGCAGCCUCAGUCAGCUGUGUGGAAAACCCAACCACUCAGAUACACGUCAGGGUGCGGUUUUGGAGGAAUGUGUGCACAAGUGCUGACAGCGCCAUGGCAGCUUGUGGAAGCUCUCCAGAGACCUGACUCCAGGUGCAGCAGCACAGCACCAUUCACUGGGCACACAGACCAGGAGGAUUUCCACUCCCUCCCAGUUGCUCCAUUCAUCUGUGGACACUGCGUAAGCAGAGCUUGCAUCAUCAGAGAGGUGGGAUGGGCCAUUUCUUUCCAGAGAGAUUGGUUUCUUUUUUUUUUUUUUCUCCUUCUGCAAAUCAGAUCAUUUCUCAGAUGCUAUUUAGAGUACAACCACACAAACAAUUCAGUCAGCACAACUGGAGGUACGGGAGCUCCUCAAGGCCCGGAACGUGCCUGCUCUGCUCCAGAGAACAGAAGAUUGGGUUUUUCUUCACUCAGCUGCACCCAGGAAGAAUUUGUCCUGCAGAACCACACGGAGAUGAUAUAAAUAAUAAACAGAAAACAGUUUAUAUGGCACACACCUAAAAAGCAACCAUAACAAUCUCAAGCUGUGUAUAGGAAUACAGGAGACAGAAUAGGGAACAAAUUCUGAUCUACAUUUGUUGUGGAGGACAAAAAAGGCUCCACAAAGAGCUUAUGUUCUGCUUUCUUUCCCCAAAAAUGAAUCAUUCUCCUGAGCCCGAGCCUUCCAACACCUAAAGCAACAGAGGAGACGUGAUGAAAAGCCCUUCUUACUACAUAACCACUCUUUUCUAAGGACAGUUCCAGAUGUGUUUUGACCCAUUUUCAGAAUUUGUGAAGGAAUCAAAGAACAUCCUGAAGGGUCUAUGUUGAACUUCAGCAUUUCAGCACAUUUUCCAAUAAAAUAACAAUUCAAAAAUCCAUUAUCCAAGCAUAAGGAAAUAGAGACAUUUUACAGCUCUCACCUCCCUAGAAAAGGUUUGUAUCUGACAGAAAAGCUGUGAGAAAGAUGGGAGGAGAAAGCACUUUAUGGGACUACAUCACCUUUCUUACAACAGCCACUCUUAAGACUUCAAAGUCCACCAUUACGGAUAUUGAGCCCAAUUCAGAGAUGAUUUAACAAUGACUUUUACAACAGGGAUUUUUACAACACUUGAUCCAAGGAGAGCUCUUGAUCAGUCACCCAUUUAAGAAGCAGUGCUAGGAGGGGGCAGAUACCAAACUAAUUCUAUGUCUGAUGAAUGGCCAGAGCUCCACCAGCAGAUCAGAACACCCUCAUGCUGCCAGAUGGCUGAUUCAUUCCUCCAGGCAGGAGACUCAUGCUCACGUUGCUCCCUUUUCUUUUGAGAGCAACAGAAUAGGAAAUUGCUCUGCAAUUCUGUUUCCUCUUU